rnacentral:rRNA from 1 species
GAUGAACGCUGGCGGCGUGCCUAAUACAUGCAAGUAGAACGCUGAAGCUUGGUGCUUGCACCGAGCGGAUGAGUUGCGAACGGGUGAGUAACGCGUAGGUAACCUGCCUGGUAGCGGGGGAUAACUAUUGGAAACGAUAGCUAAUACCGCAUAACAGUCGACAUUGCAUGAUGUUGAUUUGAAAGGGGCAAUUGCUCCACUACCAGAUGGACCUGCGUUGUAUUAGCUAGUUGGUGAGGUAACGGCUCACCAAGGCGACGAUACAUAGCCGACCUGAGAGGGUGAUCGGCCACACUGGGACUGAGACACGGCCCAGACUCCUACGGGAGGCAGCAGUAGGGAAUCUUCGGCAAUGGACGGAAGUCUGACCGAGCAACGCCGCGUGAGUGAAGAAGGUUUUCGGAUCGUAAAGCUCUGUUGUAAGAGAAGAACGAGUGUGAGAGUGGAAAGUUCACACUGUGACGGUAACUUACCAGAAAGGGACGGCUAACUACGUGCCAGCAGCCGCCGUAACAC